GUCGCGGACGGGAAAAAGAUUGUAGUCAAGGAAGCCGGCCGAACUGCCUUGAGAAAAACCACCAGCCUUACUUCCAAUGUACACUGAAGAGCCAGGGUUGUGAAAAUGCGUGGCGAUCAUGUUGCAAACAACCUAAUAACCUGACAUGCAUUGAUGGGCAUACGUAUUGUGAUUGCCUUUGUGUACUUGCGCCGCACAUGAAACCAACGCCUUCUUGUCCUCCCGGCCGUUCUUGGUCUCGAACACGCUCUUGAACAAGUCUCGAACAUAUCAAGAAGUUUAUGAAGCGCAUGGUGUCAUUCGCUUUCUGUUGCGCACCUGCCAACUCCCACUUUACUUGCUUGUAUGCAAUAAAGU
rnacentral:lncRNA from 1 species